UUUUUUUUACAAAUACCUGUACUAUCACUAACACAUUUACUGUUUUACUUUUAGCCUGUGGAUACAAAUGCAGAUUUCCUUAAUGUAAGUUGUGCAUUUUAAUUACAUCAUGUUAUUUUUAUUAUUAUUUAUUUAUUUAUUUUAUUUUACAUUCAAAUAUUUCAAGCUUCUUGGUUAAAGAAGCUUGAUUGCUAGUAGGUAAAGAAUAGUUCACCUAUAAUUCAUAUUCCCAAUUAAUUUCUCACCUCUGAUUGAAUGCCUUUGUUUGUUUUCCUUUUGACUAUAACAAAACAUUUUUGCUGGAUAUAUAUGGUGAAUUUAUAUGCAUAGAUACAGUCGUAGUGCUUGACACAUGCAAACAGCAGUAGAUGUACUAAAAAGGAAAUAAUUACAAUCAUGAUGUUGAUUGCUGAUGUCAGUAUAUAUAUUUUAGAGGAAUGUUUUGUUUUUCACCCAAAAUGAACUAUAUUGCUUCAGAAGAGAUUUAUUACCCUACCGGACUCUUAUAUAUUGUUCUGUUUUUUGUUUGUUUUUGUUAUUUUCAGGUUCAAUGGUGCGUGUUCUUCUAAUGGCCGCCUUCCCACUGGAGGUUUUGAUCCACAGCAAUUUAAAAGGAGGACAGAGCAAAACGGACAUCGGCGCAGAGUGAAGAACUGCCCUUGAUAAGGACACUAUGACAGCCAUAUAUAUGGCGGUAAGGAAGGGGUUUCCCAGCGUGUCCAGAAGGGCUUUGAGGAUUGCCGUGAAAGCUGGGGGAACUGAGACUGCUGGAAAAGGAAAAGAAAUUACAUUUUAAGUAUGCUGACUUA